UCAUUCUGCAGUUCAAAAGCAAAGAAAACGAUGACCACAACAUCUAGGGAGGAUUAUGGCGUAUCUUCGGCUACCAGUAGAGUAUUUGCACCACAAAAAGUUGUCGACACGAGUGUCUUAAUGACUAUAAAUGAAAUUGAUGUUGUAGGGAAAAAAAAUUGAAGUGUCAUUGUCAAGGAAUUGAUUAAGUGUAUCUCAUCCUUUUCAUCCUUUGUAAUAUAGUAGAUUAGUGAUUAUGGUAGAAGUGAUGUCAACUUUAAGAAAG
rnacentral:sRNA from 1 species